rnacentral:rRNA from 1 species
ACACGUGAUUCAGAGUUUGAUCCUGGCUCAGGAUGAACGCUGGCGGCGUGCUUAACACAUGCAAGUCGAACGGACUUAUGAUGAAGCCUAGCGAUUUAUAAGUUAGUGGCGGACGGGUGAGUAACGCGUGGGUAACCUGCCUUAUACAGGGGGAUAACACUUAGAAAUAGGUGCUAAUACCGCAUAAGCGCACAGUAUCGCAUGAUACAGUGUGAGAAACUCCGGUGGUAUAAGAUGGACCCGCGUCUGAUUAGCUAGUUGGUGAGGUAACGGCACACCAAGGCGACGAUCAGUAGCCGGCCUGAGAGGGUGAACGGCCACAUUGGGACUGAGACACGGCCCAA